rnacentral:rRNA from 1 species
UACGUAGGGUGCGAGCGUUAAUCGGAAUUACUGGGCGUAAAGCGUGCGCAGGCGGUUGUGUAAGACAGAUGUGAAAUCCCCGGGCUCAACCUGGGAACUGCAUUUGUGACUGCACGGCUGGAGUGCGGCAGAGGGGGAUGGAAUUCCGCGUGUAGCAGUGAAAUGCGUAGAUAUGCGGAGGAACACCGAUGGCGAAGGCAAUCCCCUGGGCCUGCACUGACGCUCAUGCACGAAAGCGUGGGGAGCAAACAG